GGCCUUUCAAAUCUCCAUGGGAAUCCCUAUAUUAAGGGUGCCGUUUCGGCGGCUAUGGCGAUAAACGUCAUGUGAAAUAAGCGUUGCGGACCCGGGGGCAGUACCCGGCGCCUCCACCAAUUCCCUUUGAGCCGCCCUCGGGCGGCACCUCAUGGGGGCGAACCAGGAUCGACGCGCGUGGUAAAGGCAUGAUUUUCGCCCGGCAUGAUACCACCGUUAUCGGGUCACACCUUAGGUGCGAACGACAAUGAACUCGCACUCGCUGCUUAAACAUACCUAAGUAAGCGCGGUUCGGGGGGCACCGGGCAACAGAAGCCCCCCACU
rnacentral:tmRNA from 1 species